CCUUACAGCUCUGAAGAGUACGGUUUAUUCAUCUGUCAGAGUGUAUGCACUUCUUGCCAGUGUAUCACUUAUAUCUUUUUUCUCCAAACCAGAAAAAACCCUGUAUUUUUAGGAAGACGGAGCAAGCCCUUAAAUACAAAUCAGCUGAUUGUCAGUCUGUUCUCCAUUUUCUAUCUCCUUCAACCACAUUGCUUCAUACUUGCCUUUAAGUUAAACCUGUCCAAUGAGCUUUUGCUCUCUGUGACAGACUUACAGAAAACAGACUAAGCGAUUUAUCCUCUCACGCUGCAAGCCAGGCGGCUCCUCCAAGCAGAUGUAUGACAGCCAUGGGAGCUAAGUGCAGCCCAUAGACACUCGAAGGCAGCAGUGAGCAUGAUUCAGGGGAAAUGGAAGCUCCCCUGCAUGUUGAAGGACCAGAAAAGGGCAGGUGCUCAUGUACUGUGGUGUAAUUCUAUUCAUUCACUGUGCAAAGUAUGUGGUUAAUGAGCAUUACAUAUUACUGCUAAAGCAGUUUGUCCUCUUGUGCUCUGCAGUGAAGGCUCAGACUGCUCCUCCACUUUCCCCAACACACACCUGCAUUAUGCCCACACAGAAUCGUGGAAUCAAAGAUAUACAUCAUAGACAUACAGCACUCCCCCAGCCUAGGAAGGUGAGAUGCAAGAGGAGAUGUAGCACAGACUGUGAGCAGACCACGUUUCCAAUUGCUAAGAUGCUUGUCAAACUUUAAGCACCAUGCCAGCACACCGAGUAUGCGGCCCGCAGGGAAUAACCAUGGAAUCAGAAAUGAGGAGGCAGGGAGGACUGCA
ensembl:lncRNA